AACGAACGCUGGCGGCAGGCUUAACACAUGCAAGUCGAACGCCCCGCAAGGGGAGUGGCAGACGGGUGAGUACCGCGUGGGAAUCUACCCAUCCCUACGGAAUAACGCAUGGAAACGUGUGCUAAUACCGUAUACGCCCUACGGGGGAAAGAUUUAUCGGGGAUGGAUGAGCCCGCGUUGGAUUAGCUAGUUGGUGGGGUAAAGGCCCACCAAGGCGACGAUCCAUAGCUGGUCUGAGAGGAUGAUCAGCCACAUUGGGACUGAGACACGGCCCAAACUCCUACGGGAGGCAGCAGUGGGGAAUAUUGGACAAUGGGCGCAAGCCUGAUCCAGCCAUGCCGCGUGAGUGAUGAAGGCCUUAGGGUUGUAAAGCUCUUUCACCGGAGAAGAUAAUGACGGUAUCCGGAGAAGAAGCCCCGGCUAACUUCGUG
rnacentral:rRNA from 1 species